rnacentral:rRNA from 1 species
UACCAGCACCCCGAGUGGUUGGGACGAUUAUUGGGCCUAAAGCAUCCGUAGCCGGUCCUACAAGUCUUCCGUUAAAUCCACCUGCUUAACAGAUGGGCUGCGGAAGAUACUAUAGGGCUAGGAGGCGGGAGAGGCAAGCGGUACUCAGUGGGUAGGGGUAAAAUCCUCUGAUCCAUUGAAGACCACCAGUGGCGAAGGCGGCUUGCCAGAACGCG